GGGAGAUUGAGACUUGCUCAUCAUCAGGCAUCCACACUCCAAGUCCUCAGUUCUAGCCAAUAGACCUAGUGCCUACAUUCCCCAGGGUGCCUUUAAAAGAUAAACAACGGGGCAAACUCAUUACAUGUUAGAGCAUUUUUGAAACAGCCCAUACAGGUAGUGGAUUAUGUUCUCAAAGAUUUUCUAAAAAAGCAAUCUAAAUGAAUUUACUCUUGUUCUUUAAUAUAUCUUCCUGCAAAAUGAUUUUCUACCGACUUAGGGUAUCUCACCAUGCUGGUGAGGCAAGUUACACAAGUCUUUUUAUGGAACCUGAAAAGUAAUUAACUAUUGCUCUGCUCUGAAACUGAGAUUAAACAACUCUCCAACAGUAGAGUAGACAGUGGUGCAGGAAAUCAAUUCCCUGCCUGACUAAUUAGCAACAAGUCCACAGGCAGGGGCAGAUUUCGAGGCAGGGGCAGAUUUCGAGUGAGAAAAUGGGAAUUAACUGUCUCUCUCUUACAUUAAUAUGCAAUGAACAGUGUCUGCUAGACAAAUUAGCCGUACUACCACAGUUCAUAGGCUGUAGAUGUCUUUUUUUUUUUUUUUUUUUUAAUACUUGACCAGGAUCCUCGGAAAGGAUUUGGAGUAGAAAAUAUUCAGUUUUAUUAACUUCUAAAAGUUUGGGCAGAAUUUUGCAGAGUUCCGCACCGAGAGGGAGACUCUUCCCUGUGUGAAAUCUUCUGUGGGUGACAUUCAGAUAAUCUUUUAAGAAUUAGUCCCUCCCCCUCCAACCUGGCAGUUCUUUAAUCAGUGACCCCGUCUAGCGAUCUCUUCAAUAAGAUUAAUGACAGUACAGUGCUAGUCAACAGCAUAGUUGACACAGAGGAUUGUGUGCAUACACAACAUAUAUUUCCUGAUGAUGGGGGGUCCUCUAUGUCCAAUGGAUUUACCAAGGGACUUCUGAAAAUUCCCUAAAACUUUCUUCUUAAGCCCCUCACAUGAAGGCCCAUGGACUUAUAGCUGAACAAUGUUUGUCUCUGACAUGGAUGCUGACAGCUUCUGUAUAGAACUUGGGCCCAAUGGUAAAGCCCUCCCACCCAGGAGUGAAGUCCCUUUGAAGAUCACACUCUGGACAACAUUUCCACCCAAAAAGCUCUCCUUUUUUUAUUUUUUUAUUUUUUUUGGAAAGCAGAUCUUAAGAGGAUACGGCCUUUCAUUUGCAUUUGACAGACUCUGCUGCCAUGUUCAAGUUUAGACAGCUGGAUCUGAAGUAGAUGCUGUUUUCCUACUGUCUCUCUUGAUUGGGACACUAAUUUGUCAGCUUUAGGAUUUAAACACUCCCCUCACAUGUUUAGGUGGUUUCUAUGCAUACCCACAUCUUCUGUUCUAUGUAUUUCUAGGAAAUAUAGUAAACUGAUUCAAAAGCAAUGAAGGUCUUCAGAUGAAUUUUUUCUUUUUAAAGUAGUUUCUUCAGCCUGGAUAUGGUUAAAGUCCAUAACUACACACAACCCAGGGUAUCUAUAUUACACUGUGUGAUCUGCUGGGUUGAUCGUGAGCUUGGGUUAGAGAUUUGGCUCUUAUGCUUAGGCGGUGUGUGUCCUUGAGCAAAUCACUCUACCCCUCUGGGUCUGAGUUUCUCCUCCUGUAAAUUGGGGUUAAUACCUUGGAGGGAGGUGUUGGGAGGAUUAAGGUCUGGGAAGUACUCUGAACAUGAAAAGUGCAAUAUAGGUACUGUCUUUAUUAAGUGGUGCCUGAGGCAGCCCUACACUUUGUCUCCACAACCUUCCUUGCUGUGCUGCAAAGUUUCAUUUUCCUUGUUUACUAUGGUUAAUGCUCUCUGGAAACUCAUUCCCCUUGCUGCACCACCUGAUGCUUAUAUGCUUAAAACAGCACCCAAAGAGCAUUGAAAUAUCAGUUGUUCCCACAACUUGGGAGUCUUUGCUUUGAACCAGUUACUUACUCAAGAGCCUCUGCAUCUGAUUGAAUUUCAGGAUGGAGCAAAGGGGAAAUCUGGUCUUCAGAGCAAUAUACAAUCAGAGGGCAUCAGGUUAGCCAGAACCUUGCGUCAUGUAAAAUAAGAGGCACUGCAAUCAAAGCUCUCUCUCCUGGGAGAACAGCACCAUUACAGGCUCACCAUCAUCUGCAUCAACAACCUCCAGGACAAUAGCAUCAGCAUCCAUGACUAUUCCAAGAAUUUUGUGGACAACCAGGCAGUUAAAGUUAUAAAGUAGCUUUGAUGUCUGUGCCCGAUUUCUCAGGUUUAUUAGGGAAGCACACCAGACACCAAAUCCAUCUUGAUUACAUUAAGGGAUAUCUUUCUCCUCAGAAAGUUCUUGGCUCUUAUCCAGUUCAGCACUAGAGCCACUAACCCUGCCUAGCAGCUAACUGAAGUUGAUAUGGAGAAGCACUGAACUGUUUUCAAAUGGUCUGUUUAUCAUGGGUAUUUUAAAUAGAAAUGUAAAACUGAUCAUAGGAUACUCAUUCCAUGUAGUUGUAUUAAAGGUAUAUAAGUGGGAUAUUAUCAGUUUUUCUGAAUAAUGGCUUUGUUAAACAAGCUUACGAAAAGAACACUUGUACAGUAUAUGGAAAGCUAUUUGCACUGGGUACAGCAUUAUUACAAAUAUUUCACUUGUUUUAAAAGUAGUAAGCACUUACACUACAUUUCUUGGGCCAGAUUUUUCUGCGGGCGUAAUUCCAUUGAAAUCAACAGCUGCAAAGUGUUUGGCUAUGUAUGUUCAAGUUUGGCUAUAUAUAUUAUGGAGAUUAACUCUCACCACCCCUUUGGGAGUUAUGUUGAGCAUUAUCUCUAUUAUAUAGCUGAAAUAACCACACAAAUAGGUUUGAUAUUAUUUGGUCAAACGUGGCAGAGGAUUCAGGAAAUC